GCCUGGUAAUAGAUUUAUGGUGGGCCCUUCUCUGUGGGCCUCACUUGGUGUGCCCAUGUCAGAGUAAAUUUCAGCCUCAAACCACUGCCCAGCCUCCUUACCAGUGAGCUGUGAGUACUGAAGGGGACUGUACAGUG